GGUAACCCCCGAAUAAAUCACCGCUAGGGAAAAGAAUCGCCAUCGACGCAGAGACAAUCAAAGAUAUACACAUGGCUAAUGGAAUUCAAUCGGAGACAAACGGGAAUAUUAUUGUGUUUUAUAGUGAUUACAAACCUUGAGUUUGAGUGGGUGAAGGACGCGAGACAUAUUCAGGUUUAGGGUUUAUUAAUUUCUCAAGGAGUUUGAUACACCCUGAACUUGGGGUUUAUCAAACUCAGGAAUAUAACUUUGUUCAGGGUUUGUCAUUUCUUAUCGUAGUUGAUGCGGGGGGAUGAUCAGGUUCCGUCGUUAGUCUGCAAUACAGCCAUAGUAGAACCAGUUAUUCAAAUCGUUCGAGUCUAACUUAGCAGGUGGCUGAGGGUGCCAGAACAGCCUGUGCUUCACGAAUUGACAAUUAAAAGUUUGAGCGAGGUUCAAGGCUUAAAUUUAUAAAUAAUCAGCUCAGGCAACAGAGAGCUCUUCAACAGUUGGGAAUGAUCCAGCACAAUGCUUGGAGACCUCAGAGACAGUUGCCAAAACGUUCUGUUUCAGUUCUUCGUGCUUGGCUAUUUGAGCAAUUCCUCCACCCUUAUCCCAAAGACUCAGACAAACAUAUGCUCGCGAAGCAAACAAUUCUUAGUAGGAGUCAGGUGUCUAAUUGGUUCAUAAACGCCCGAGUGCGCCUCUGGAAGCCAAUGGUAGAAGAAAUGUACACUGAGGGCGAGCUGUUUUGCUAUUAUACUAAUCAAGAGGCCCCUCCAGUUGUGUAAUCAUAUGUAAUUGCUGUCUACAGAUCCCAGCUCUUAUCUUUCCAAAGCCGGGGACGACAACUCAAAAAAUCUAGAAUGAGGAAGGUUUCUUUCUCGUCUUCAAAACUUUUUUAAUGCCACAGAAAAGAUGGAAGGCAUGCAUGCAUGAUGCACCUGCAUAUAAGCUUUUUAAGGUUUUUGACGAAGCUUUUGACCGAGGAUUUACUACGACUAUUUGUUCGUCCAAAGAAGAUUGUUUUUGGAUUUCCAGAAGGGAAAAGCAGUUGGUCCCCUUCCCACUGCUUUUCGGUCUGGAGAAGUACAAGAAGGCAACAAGGACUAUGAGGGGAAAUUACCGGUUACCCUUGUAGAUGCUAGAAAGCUCUUUUAUGUUUUUCCUGGAAAGACAGACCCGUAUGUUAUUCUAAAAUUGGGAGAUCAAGUCAUACGUAGUAAAAAGAACAGUCAGACAACUGUCAUUGGUUCUCCUGGUGAGCCAAUUUGGAAUCAGGUGACGUUUCUUGUCAUUUAGCCUUCAUGCAUUGUUAAACUUGCACUGGUGAUGCAAUUCUGCAGCCAGGAAGAAUGUGAAGGGUGUGUUUUGGUAACACCCAUCACAUUUAGUAGGCCAUCUGUCUUCCAGUGUUGGUUUAGUCGUCAAAUCUGGGAUAAUUUUAAACAGAAACAUUCGCUAUUUACUGAUCAUAAUUCAUGGAAUCAUAUUAUCGAGCAUGCUUCGAGCGAUGGAAAUUAAAAUUGUUAGCGCAUGUGGUUAGUAAGUUGGCUUUGGAUAGCAUAGGCUAUUUUAUCUAGCAAGAACGAAAUUUGAAAUUGUUUUAGACUCAAAAUAGAGCUCCUACCCAUAUGAUUUCUCUUAAUGAAGAAGCUAUUCAUUUAAAAAUCAUGGGGCUGAAUAUUAGAGUAUUAGAAAUAACAUGAGAGGAUUUCCAUUUUUCAGAAUGGAAUAUAUCCUGAGAGUUGACUUCAAUCCAAAGGUGUUCACAUGUGGUUCUGGAAGUUGCAUAAAUCAUUUUACAUAAAUUAUUAUUAUUUUUUUAAAUUUCAAAUCAUGUACAUUGAAUAUAAUUAACUAAAAAGCAAUUUUAGCUAUAAUUUGAAAGAUUAAUAAUAUUUUUUUUAAAAUAAUCUAUAUUUUAGUACUAAACAAAAGAAAUGGGAGAUGGAUGACGGUUUUUAAAAUUGUACUUUUCUUUAUCCUUGAAUAUGGUAAAAAAACCUUUUAUAAUUACUAUUAACUCCCAAUAUUUGUUUCUUUCUGUUCCUUUCUUACUUUAAGGGAGUACCCUCUAACUUUAGUAAUGUGCUCAUAUUUGUAAAAGAUUUUAUGUCUCCCAGGUGGGACUGGAUUUGAUCCCCCAAAGAUGGUUUGGUGAAACAAGCCCCCCCCAGAAGAAUGAGUAAUUUAUACAAUGCGGAUGUUACAUUGUUUAGGUAAUCCUUUUUUUAGUUAUAAAAUUGUGCAUUUCGUAGAAUUUAUCUCUUUGGCUGAUUGUGAAGAAUAAUGUAGAAAAACAUGAGAUAACUUGCAUUCUUGCCUUCUCCGGCUUUCUUAUAGAGUAGUGACAUAGAGUGAAUGUUGUCAGUGUCAACAACCAAGGGCACUUGGAGUAUAUAACAUGAAUAGAGGCGUAGAGCCCUUAUGUUUGCUUAGUCUUUAGCGUAUCUAAAACUUGAUUAAGCCCGAUUAAGGAUGCCGGAUUUGACGCUUUACUUCUUUGUUUCUGUAAUAAAAAAAGUUUCAGAUAGUUGCCAUCACAAAGGAAUUUAGUAACUUUUAUUAGAAUGAAUAAAGCUUCUGGUCGAGUUGUGGUCACUUAUUGGUUGUUCGUGCUUGCUUUCAUGUUGCUCAACUUCUUAUACUAUGAUAACCACUAACCCUUGACAAAUGUGAAGUACAUUACAGAACUCUUCUUCCUGGUGUUUUAAUAAUUUGGCAAAGAGAUGGUUGAGCCAUGACAGCUAAGAGAGGAAUUGUCGUUCGUGGAAGCUUUAGGUCUUUAUACUAGAUUAUGUAUGCUGUAUAAAAAUCUAGGAUAUAUCACGUCCAUUUUCCAUUGUUCUUAGGGCUCCGCUAUUUUAGUGAAAGCCGAGAAGAAGGGGGAACAAUUAAGAUGUCAGACAUAUUUGUCACUAACAAGAAUAGAUCACUGCUCGUAUCAUCGCAUCAUCGUAUCAUAUGUACCUUGGUCUCUUUCUACUGAAUUCAUACUUUUUUGUUUAAUCUACAAAGUUGUAUUUUUUGUGAACUUUGUGAUGUAUAUGUUCCAUUUGAUUAUGUGACAAUGAAGGGGACUUGGAUUAUAAUAUGAGUGGAGCCUUAUGUUUGCUUACUCUAGCA